CCCUUAGAUGUUCUGGGCCGCACGCGUGCUACACUGAUGCAUUCAACGAGUCUAAAACCUGGUCUGAUAGGGCUGGGUAAUCUUUUGAAAGUGCAUCGUGAUUGGGACAGAUGAUUGCAAUUCUUCAUCUUCAACGAGGAAUGCCUAGUAAACGCAAGUCAUCAGCUUGCAUUGAUUACGUCCCUGCCCUUUGUACACACCGCCCGUCGCUCCUACCGAUUGAAUGAUCCGAUGAAUACCAUGGAUUGAGAGUACGAAUAGGUUCGCUUAUUUCUGCUGCUCGAGAAGUGGAGUAAAUCUUAUCAUUUAGAGGAAGGAGAAGUCGUAACA
rnacentral:rRNA from 1 species